AGAACGAACGCUGGCGGCAUGCCUAACACAUGCAAGUCGAACGCUCACCGGGCUUCGGUUCGGUGGGAGUGGCGCACGGGUGAGUAGCGCGUGGGAACCUGCCCUAUUGUGGGGGAUAACCGAGGGAAACUUCGGCUAAUACCGCAUGCGCCCGGGGAAACCCGGGGAAAGAUUUAUCGCAGCAGGAGGGGCCCGCGUCGGAUUAGGUAGUUGGUAGGGUAACGGCCUACCAAGCCUUUGAUCCGUAGCUGGUCUGAGAGGAUGAUCAGCCACACUGGGACUGAGACACGGCCCAGACUCCUACGGGAGGCAGCAGUGGGGAAUAUUGGACAAUGGGCGCAAGCCUGAUCCAGCAAUGCCGCGUGAGUGAUGAAGGCCUUAGGGUUGUAAAGCUCUUUCGCCCGCGACGAUGAUGACGGUAGCGGGAGAAGAAGCCCGGCUAACUUCGCGCCAGCAGCCGC
rnacentral:rRNA from 1 species